rnacentral:lncRNA from 1 species
ACCAAUUUUGCACCAAUUGUCAAAAAUGGGCCCCACCACUUUUGACCAAAAAACAAAAAACAAAAAAAUGGUGAACAGUAACGCGGAAUGAACAGUAACGCGGAAUGAACAGUACACGCGGAAUGAACAGUACAUGCGGAAUGAACAAUAACUAUGAAUGGUAACGUGAAUAGUAGAUUUUGUCUCAUAUCAACAAUCUCCACCUUGAGACAUAAUUUACUCUUGUAACAAAAAAAUGAAGUUUUCACUUCAAUAAACUCCUCAUCAUCAGAUCAUCGGUUGUAAACAAUCUUUUGAAACUAGAUUGUCAUACCAACCAAAUUUGAGCACAGCUCAAACUUAGUUGCUGGAACCGGCUUCGUCNNN